GGCAAUCUGCCCUGCACUCUGGGACAAGCCCUGGAAACGGGGUCUAAUACCGGAUACUGAUCAUCUUGGGCAUCCUUGGUGAUCGAAAGCUCCGGCGGUGCAGGAUGAGCCCGCGGCCUAUCAGCUUGUUGGUGAGGUAAUGGCUCACCAAGGCGACGACGGGUAGCCGGCCUGAGAGGGCGACCGGCCACACUGGGACUGAGACACGGCCCAGACUCCUACGGGAGGCAGCAGUGGGGAAUAUUGCACAAUGGGCGAAAGCCUGAUGCAGCGACGCCGCGUGAGGGAUGACGGCCUUCGGGUUGUAAACCUCUUUCAGCAGGGAAGAAGCGAAAGUGACGGUACCUGCAGAAGAAGCGCCGGCUAACUACGUGCCAGCAGCCGCGGUAAUACGUAGGGCGCGAGCGUUGUCCGGAAUUAUUGGGCGUAAAGAGCUCGUAGGCGGGCUUGUCGCGUCGGUUGUGAAAGCCCGGGGG
rnacentral:rRNA from 1 species